GGAAGUGACAUCACAACGCUGACCUUCCGCACUGGCCCGUAUCACCUGGCGCUGCCUGGACGGCAGUUAUGGAGCGGCCAUUUUGACACUUGCUGUUGACUGAGAAUGACAUCGCGGUGCCUCAGGGCUCAACUGGUCAACGUGAGAGGACAAAACCAGAAAACAGCUGCUUCUUCUGUCCCGAGAUGCUUCACGUUGUCUGUCUGGCUCACGCAGGAUGCACAAGAAGAAGCCAUUAAUGGGGGGCGGGUGGGCGGCUAGCAGCCAGCAGCAGCAAGCAGCAGCCGUGGGAGGCCAGCCAGCCAAGUUGCUAUGUGGACAAUGAAAUUCCAGUUCAACAAAAACAUCCUGCACAAGUGAGAGAGAGAGAGAGAGAGAGAGAGAGACAACAGCGGUCUGCAAUGUCAAAAUAAAACAACGUUCCUGCAUUUGUGUACCUGUAGCGCAGCAAGAGGCAUGACAGUCACAUGUUUGAGGUUCAACUGCAGGUCAGGCUGCUUAAAAAUAGCUCAGGAUGUCCUGCACUGUCCCUGUAACACUUUUUUUUUUUUAAUUUGCCAUUCCACGUCCUCUGGGGGCGGGCUGCUCCUGAAAUUCAAAUGAUUAUCGAGAGUGGAGCACAGUUCAAAUCCAAGCUGAAGCUUUCACGUUUUGAUUUUUUCUUUCUUGCCGCGUUUCCUCCCACCUUGCACAAACUUGCAUGUUCGAAUCGAUGGAUGACUCAAAAUUGUCCUCAGGUGUAAAUGCGAGGGUGAAUGCUAUAUGUGUGGGGGGCCGGAUCAAACUGCUUUACUGUAAACAAUAUCAAACAAAGCCGUCAGGCUCCAGAUGUAACUUUUUUUUUUAAACCGUCAGUCAAUGCUUGCGCAUGUUUUACACCACUAACGGGUUCAACGUCUAGAUGAGUGCUUUGUCAUGUUGUCUUUUUUUCCCCCACGGCUCACCCAUACUUCACAGAAUUUGUCAUACUGAGCUUUCAUUGGGAAAAUGAAACGCUAUACCUUCAAGUCUAAAAUGGCGAAGUAUUUGCGAUAGCUGUUCAGUCAAGGUCGCAAGUGUAAGCUAACAACAUCAGCUGACGAAAAGCCACACAACCAAGAGCAUGAACAAAUAUAAGGCAAUAGAUUCGGAGAAGCGAGUUCGUAUGAAUAUUGGUGACCUAUGACCUUAUUGAAGAGAAUCGUUUGAUCCUGUCAACUCCGAGAAUGAUUCUCGGCAAAUGCGUCAUCUCUCGUGCUAGCUUAAAAGCGACGAGCUUUUAGCAUUCAAAUAAGGGAUGGCACUCACAUCUCCGUCGUAGAGUUAACAUGCGCUCAAAGUACAACAAAAUGAAAAGGAAGUUAGCAAAAUUGGGCUUCUAGCCACCACUCAGUGAAAAAUCAUGUCACUCUGGCCACGCCACUGAAAAAAAAAAAUCUCUGGCUACGCUUCUGCUCCAAAUAAAUUAUCUCAUAAAUGAGAAGCAAGUAAUAAUCCUUCAAUGACUGGAAGGCUUAGUUCAGAACAGAACUUUGACAAGAGCGCACAAGGGGACAUAUAUGUGCGGGUAACAUAAAACCAUCCCUCCCAAAGCACAGGCAAGGGAGGGGAAGCCUACCCAAAAUGCAUCAGGCCCUUUUAUGCUAGCAGUGAAAGGAUGAAGCCAGAUGAAUGACAAAAGGGAGAGAAUGGCGAUCUGGGUUGGUCCUGCUUGGUUGGAAGACAAGGAGGGAGACGAACGAAGGGAGUGUUGCGUGUGUGUGUGUGUAGGGGAGGUUGCUUUCUGUGGGAAAAGCGGACUACUUUUGUACAUUCAUGACAAUAGAGAAAUAAAAUGCAUACACGGAAAGUUUGGGGUUUAAUGUUUUCUUUACUGGCUUGUACACAAACGUACAAAAAUAAUACAGCACUCCUCUCCACGUGACACCACGUCAUCAUCACAGUGUUACAAACAUUCAAAAUAAAAUUCAGGAAAAAAAAAAAA